GGUUCCAUAGUGUAGCAGUUAGCACGUCUGCUUUACAUGCAGAAGGUCCUGGGUUUGUGCCCCAGUAGAGCCA
rfam:Pteropus alecto contig18506, whole genome shotgun sequence.